rnacentral:rRNA from 1 species
GGGUAUUGGGCUAAGUCGUAACAAGGUAACCGUAGGUGAACCUGCAGAAGGAUCA